rnacentral:sRNA from 1 species
UAUACAAUCCCUCAUAGGUAAUGUAAUCC